GUAAUGCCUGGGAAAUUGCCCUGAUGUGGGGGAUAACCAUUGGAAACGAUGGCUAAUACCGCAUAAUGCCUUCGGGCCAAAGAGGGGGACCUUCGGGCCUCUCGCGUCAGGAUAUGCCCAGGUGGGAUUAGCUAGUUGGUGAGGUAAGGGCUCACCAAGGCGACGAUCCCUAGCUGGUCUGAGAGGAUGAUCAGCCACACUGGAACUGAGACACGGUCCAGACUCCUACGGGAGGCAGCAGUGGGGAAUAUUGCACAAUGGGCGCAAGCCUGAUGCAGCCAUGCCGCGUGUAUGAAGAAGGCCUUCGGGUUGUAAAGUACUUUCAGUCGUGAGGAAGGUAGUGUAGUUAAUAGCUGCAUUGCUUGACGUUAGCGACAGAAGAAGCACCGGCUAACUCCGUGCCAGCAGCCGCGGUAAUACGGAGGGUGCGAGCGUUAAUCGGAAUUACUGGGCGUAAAGCGCAUGCAGGUGGUUUGUUAAGUCAGAUGU
rnacentral:rRNA from 1 species